GGUCUGGGUUUUUGAGUCCUACACGAGCACGGCGGAUGGCACGGCUAAUGGCUUUAACUGCUUCGUCUUGACUGAUGAUACGUAUGUGGAGUGUUUCUUCCAUUUUGAGAAGACGGUCCGAUUUGUCUGUUGAGACUUUUUCGACCGGUAUGCCAGUCCAUGAUGAGACAAUGUGCUGAAUGUCCGCUUCAGUUACGGUGGGGCCCUCUUCUCCCGCCUCGGUCUCGGCUUUGCUCAUCUCUUUGUUGUUGUCCACAAGAGCGAAUAUUUGAGUUUUAAGAUCCAUUUCCCGAUCACGCAACUCCCCAGCCUGUCAAGAGCAUAAUAUUAGCAUCUCAUGUGUACAGAAAAAAUAUAUGUGACACCAUGUGUGGAUUGGCAAAUGGGCCAAAACAGGUUUUGAGUUAUACUCGGUUUAGUGACAUAACUAAAACAAUGCCUAAAAGCUGUAUGAUAGCAUAGGCAAAUGGACCAAUACUAUAUGGUAUUGACAAGUCCACUGCAGUUUGGACUGAAGAUACCUGCAAAAGGUUUUUAAAAAUCAAGUUGCCUAAUGCCCUAAUCGUUAAGCAAAAUGCAAGAAAAAUGAUGUAUUCAUUUACUCGGCUUAGGAUUCGACCAGAUGGGUUGGCAUCAAAGAAAGACAUGGGGGCACAGAAAAUAGAAAAAUGCAUUUUGUCGAAAAGCUGGUUGGCCGUUUCGUACCCAGCUUGCAUAAGUAAAAACGAACUUGCUAGAAUACACAAAGAGCAUCCAAUACCAAAAGCCACAUAAACAAUAAUGAAUUUGAAGUCAUCAACACAAUCAGUUCAAAUCUACAUAAGACAUCAAAGCAGAAAAUAAAAAAUAAAUAAAUAAACGGCAAAAAGUUCAAAAGAUUACGAUCGACAAUACACGAGACGCAAAACAAAAUGAGAUAUGAUAUCUUUGUUGUUAACCUCUGAUGCCUAUGGAUGUCUCAAAUGAGCCUUCAAUAGAUCAAUUACCUACUUGGUCCAAAAAAAUAAACACCAUAUAUUAAAGAGCCAAAAAAAAGUAAAAACCCUAAAAAUAAAAAAUAGAUAUGUAAUAAAAAAGCUAUCACUAACCAAUUUCUCCAUUUCAUCAGGUUUCUUUCCUCUAGCUAACCCGUCAGAAAUCCCUCUAAGAAGUGCGUAUAACAAAUAAUGACAAUAAACCUCUACAAUGUUAAAACUUAAAACCAAAAAACUAAUAAAUGUGUUGAAACAAAAAACUUCCCCUUUCGAUCUUCUAUUAUACGUUCAGAUUCAAAAUUAGGGUUUUUACUUUUGUAAACUAUAGGAAUUCCUGAUGGCCUCGAUACGGAUCUUGAAAGAACUCAAGGAUCUCCAGAAGGAUCCUCCUACCUCUUGCAGUGCAGGGUUAUAACAAAUAUUACAUUGCUAACUGCAGAGCUAUAGAUGAUAUCACAGUGUGACACAUAUAAU
rnacentral:lncRNA from 1 species